UAGGGGAGCAUUGUAGUGUCGUCGAAGGUGUACCGUGAGGUAUGCUGGAGAAGCUACAAAAGAAAAUGUAGGCAUAAGUAACGAUAAUGCGGGCGAGAAACCCGCACACCGAAAGACUAAGGUUUCCUCAGCUAUGCUAAUCAGCUGAGGGUUAGUCGGGACCUAACGCGAACCCGAAAGGGGUAGUGGAUGGACAACGGGUUAAUAUUCCCGUACCUGCUCACGUUAAAAGUGACGGAUCUCCGUGGUUGCUGCGUACUGACGGAAUAGUACGUUGAAGCGCAAGCGAUAGUACACUGAGGCUACGGCCAAGGUGAUAAUGCAGCGAAGGAGGUUCCAAGAAAAGCGAGUGAAGCAGCCCGUACCGUAAACCGACACAGGUAGUUGGGAUGAGAAUUCUAAGGUGCUCGAGAGAUUCAUGGCUAAGGAACUAGGCAAAAUAGACGCGUAACUUCGGGAGAAGCGUCGCCCAUCUCCGGAUGGGCCGCAGUGAAAAGAUCCAAGCGACUGUUUAUCAAAAACACAGGGCUCUGCUAAAUCGAAAGAUGACGUAUAGGGCCUGACACCUGCCCGGUGCUGGAAGGUUAAGUGGAGGGUUUAGAAGUUUACUUCGAAGAUCUCAAAUGAAGCCCCAGUAAACGGCGGCCGUAACUAUAACGGUCCUAAGGUAGCGAAAUUCCUUGUCGGGUAAGUUCCGACCUGCACGAAUGGUGUAACGAUUUGGAUACUGUCUCAGCCAUGAGCUCGGUGAAAUUGUAGUAUCGGUGAAGAUGCCGAUUACCCGCAGUGGGACGAAAAGACCCCGUGAACCUUUACUACAGCUUCGUAUUG
rnacentral:rRNA from 1 species